rnacentral:rRNA from 1 species
AUUGAACGCUGGCGGCAUGCCUUACACAUGCAAGUCGAACGGCAGCACGGGGGCAACCCUGGUGGCGAGUGGCGAACGGGUGAGUAAUGCAUCGGAACGUGCCCAGUAGUGGGGGAUAACUAGUCGAAAGAUUAGCUAAUACCGCAUACGACCUAUGGGUGAAAGCGGGGGACCUUUACCGGCCUCGCGCUAUCGGAGCGGCCGAUGUCUGAUUAGCUAGUUGGCGGGGUAAGAGCCCACCAAGGCGACGAUCAGUAGCUGGUCUGAGAGGACGACCAGCCACACUGGGACUGAGACACGGCCCAGACUCCUACGGGAGGCAGCAGUGGGGAAUUUUGGACAAUGGGCGCAAGCCUGAUCCAGCCAUGCCGCGUGCGGGAAGAAGGCCUUCGGGUUGUAAACCGCUUUUGGCAGGAACGAAACGGCGCGAGCGAAUAUCUCGCGUUAAUGACGGUACCUGCAGAAUAAGCACCGGCUAACUACGUGCCAGCAGCCGCGGUAAUACGUAGGGUGCAAGCGUUAAUCGGAAUUACUGGGCGUAAAGCGUACGCAGGCGGCUUUGCAAGACAGGUGUGAAAUCCCCGGGCCUAACCUGGGAACUGCAUUUGUGACUGCAUGGCUAGAGUUUGUCAGAGGGGGGUGGAAUUCCACGUGUAGCAGUGAAAUGCGUAGAUAUGUGGAGGAACACCGAUGGCGAAGGCAGCCCCCUGGGAUGUGACUGACGCUCAUGUACGAAAGCGUGGGGAGCAAACAGGAUUAGAUACCCUGGUAGUCCACGCCCUAAACGAUGUCGACUAGUUGUCGGAGGGUAACUCCUUCGGUAACGCAGCUAACGCGUGAAGUCGACCGCCUGGGGAGUACGGUCGCAAGAUUAAAACUCAAAGGAAUUGACGGGGACCCGCACAAGCGGUGGAUGAUGUGGAUUAAUUCGAUGCAACGCGAAAAACCUUACCUACCCUUGACAUGCCACUAACGAAGCAGAGAUGCAUUAGGUGCCCGAAAGGGAAAGUGGACACAGGUGCUGCAUGGCUGUCGUCAGCUCGUGUC